CCCCUAGAUGUUCUGGGCCGCACGCGCGCUACACUGAUGCAUUCAACGAGCACCCGCUGGGCCGAGAGGUCCGGCUAAUCUUUGAACGUGCAUCGUGCUGGGGAUAGAUGAUUGCAAUUAUUCAUCUUCAACGAGGAAUUCCUAGUAAACGCAAGUCAUCAGCUUGCAUUGAUUACGUCCCUGCCCUUUGUACACACCGCCCGUCGCACCUACCGAUUGAAUGGUCCGGUGAAAUUCUCGGACGCGGACUAGCGAUGUUAAUUCGGAGCUUGACUGUGAAAGUUAAUUAAACCUUACCAUUUAGAGGAAGGUGAAGUCGUAACA
rnacentral:rRNA from 1 species